rnacentral:rRNA from 1 species
GGGGGAAUAAGGAGAGGGCAAGUCUGGUGUCAGCCGCCGCGGUAAUACCAGCUCUCCGAGUGGUGUGGAUGUUUAUUGGGCCUAAAGCAUCCGUAGCUGGCUAAGUCAGUCCCUUGUUAAAUCCACCGAAUUAAUCGUUGGAUUGCGGGGGAUACUGCUUGGCUAGGGGACGAGAGAGGCAGACGGUAUUUCCGGGGUAGGGGUGAAAUCCUAUAAUCCCGGGAAGACCACCAGUGGCGAAGGCUGUCUGCUAGAACGCGCCCGACGGUGAGGGAUGAAAGCUGGGGGAGCGAACCGGAUUAGAUACCCGUGUAGUCC